UCUCUGGUGGUCUAGUGGUUAAGAUUCUCCAUUUUCACUGUUGUGACCCUGGUUCAAUCCCUGGUCAGGAAA
rnacentral:tRNA from 1 species